ACCUGGGUGGCUCAGUUGGUUGAGCACCUGACUCUUGAUUUUGGCUUAGGUCAUGAUCUCAUGGUUCGUGGGUUCGAGUCCCACAUCAAGCU
rnacentral:tRNA from 1 species